rnacentral:rRNA from 1 species
GAUGAAUGCUGGCGGCAUGCCUAAUACAUGCAAGUCGAGCGGUAACAGGACUAGCUUGCUAGUUGCUGACGAGCGGCGGACGGCUGAGUAACGCGUGGGAACGGACCCCAAACUGAGGGAUAACCACUCGAAAGAGUGGCUAAUACCGCAUGUGAUCUUCGGAUUAAAGUCUUCGGACGGUUUGGGACUGGCCUGCGUACGAUUAGAUAGUUGGUGAGGUAAUGGCUCACCAAGUCGACGAUCGUUAGAUGGUUUGAGAGGAUGAUCAUCCAGACUGGGACUGAGACACGGCCCAGACUCC